rnacentral:tRNA from 1 species
GGCUUCAUAGUAUAGUAGGAAAUACAUUUGCUUGGCAAGUGAAAAGUUGCUGGUUUGAUUCCACUUGGAAAUA